UACGGAGGGAGCUAGCGUUGUUCGGAAUUACUGGGCGUAAAGCGCGCGUAGGCGGCUUUGUAAGUUAGAGGUGAAAGCCCGGGGCUCAACCCCGGAACAGCCUUUAAGACUGCAUCGCUAGAAUCCGGGAGAGGUGAGUGGAAUUCCGAGUGUAGAGGUGAAAUUCGUAGAUAUUCGGAAGAACACCAGUGGCGAAGGCGGCUCACUGGACUGGUAUUGACGCUGAGGUGCGAAAGCGUGGGGAGCAAACAGG
rnacentral:rRNA from 1 species